UUAACAACAAAAGAAAAAAGCAGGGGGUUUUAUAGAGCUAAGGGGUUUGGCAGGAGGAGUUUCAGAGAGACAAAAGGGUAAUCUUUCACUCCAGAGAAGCCCUUGGGCAAUCUGACUUCUGGGAAUGAAUUCUG